rnacentral:lncRNA from 13 species
CCUGCCUCAGCCUCCUGAGUUAACAUAUAUUUUUAAAGGCCACUCUGAAUUUUCUAUGGUGAAUGAAUUAGAGGAAGACAAGGCUGGAAUUGGGGGAGUGGUGGAGGAACCAUGCAUAGACUUGGAUAGGCCCCCCAGGGGGAGCUGUGAUCUGCCGGGAAGGAUGACUGUGGCUCGGGUCCUGACAGUGGCUGUGAAGGCUCAGGAAGAAGGGAGUCUAUUUUGGAGGUGGAAAUGACAGAAAUUGCUAAUGAGUUAGAAGUGACUCUUACAUAUCUGAUGAGCAAUUUCUGACUUCGGUUGUUAUAUUUCUGGCUUGGUGUGAUUUUUGGAGAUAGUAAAGGCUGAAGUAGGAACAAAUCGAUGAAAGAAGCAGGGUGUGGAUCAAGGCUUGUAUUUGUGUGCUUUAAGUUUUGGAUGGCAGUGAGUUAUUCUGGUGAGGCUGUCACAGAAAGAGGCUGCAGUGCAGAAGAUGGGUCUGGGCUGAGAAUGCUCUGCAGAGGUUCACACUUGACCUUUGAAAAGCUGAUCAGCCACCCGCAAUUAUUUAUCAUAUCGGCAUUGGUCUCAGGUCUCGAGGGCUCAUCCGAGAGGAAUCUGCUGACCCAUCUCACCCUUUCCAACUGCAGAAGAGUAAAGAGGCAGGAAAUGGGGUGAAAUGGUACUGCUACUGAUCAAUGCUAAUGACCUACACCUGGCUGCAACACUCAUUUUAUUAAAGAAAGAAAAAGCGGGUUUCAGAGCGACUGGGAGCCUCGCUGUAUUAAUCACAUUUGCAUAUUGUGCUCUAUUUCAGAAGACUUCAACACCAUAACUCACAGCAAUCCAUAUUUAUGAUUUGAAAAUUGCUGACUGAAUAAUUAUACAUUAAGUAACUUCUGUUUCCUUGUAUAUUAUUGUUUCUAACUAGCAAUGGGGGAAAAUAAAGUCAUUAUUAUUUAUGGAUACA